CCUACGGGGGACAGCAGUGAGGAAUAUUGGUCAAUGGUCGAGAGUCUGAACCAGCCAAGUAGCGUGAAGGAUGACUGCCCUAUGGGUUGUAAACUUCUUUUAUAUGGGAAUAAAACGUUCCACGUGUGGGAUUUUGUAUGUACCAUAUGAAUAAGGAUCGGCUAACUCCGUGCCAGCAGCCGCGGUAAUACGGAGGAUCCGAGCGUUAUCCGGAUUUAUUGGGUUUAAAGGGAGCGUAGGUGGAUUGUUAAGUCAGUUGUGAAAGUUUGCGGCUCAACCGUAAAAUUGCAGUUGAAACUGGCAGUCUUGAGUACAGUAGAGGUGGGCGGAAUUCGUGGUGUAGCGGUGAAAUGCUUAGAUAUCACGAAGAACUCCGAUUGCGAAGGCAGUUCACUGGACUGCAACUGACUCUGAGGCUCGAAAGUGUGGGUAUCAAACAGGAUUAGAUACCCUAGUAGUC
rnacentral:rRNA from 1 species